GACGAACGCUGGCGGCGUGCUUAACACAUGCAAGUCGAACGGGCCUUGUCCCCUUUUUUUUUGGGGGUGGGGUUAGUGGCGAACGGGUGAGUAACACGUGAGUAACCUGCCCCUCACUUCUGGAUAACCGCUUGAAAGGGUGGCUAAUACGGGGUGUUCUGGCCUGCUCGCAUGGGUGGGUUUGGAAAGAUUCGACCGGUUUUGGUUGUUUUGGUGGGGGAUGGGCUCGCGGCCUAUCAGCUUGUUGGUGGGGUGAUGGCCUGCCAAGGCUUUGACGGGUAGCCGGCCUGAGAGGGUGGGCGGUCACACUGGGACUGAGACACGGCCCAGACCCCUACGGGAGGCAGCAGUGGGGAAUAGUGCACAAUGGGCGCAAGCCUGAUGCAGCGACGCCGCGUGAGGGAUGGAGGCCUUCGGGUUGUGAACCUCUUUCGCCAGUGAAGAAGGUCCUGCUCUUUGUGGUGGGGUUGACGGUAGCUGGGUUAAUGAAGCGCCGGCUAACUACGUG
rnacentral:rRNA from 1 species